ACUAGAAGUUGGUCCGCGGUGUCCCGGGAGCCUGGGAGCCGCCUCAGCCCGCCCGGAGGGAAGGAGGGAAACACCGUCGGAGCCGACCGCGGCCUGGAGAGGGCCGGAGAGCCGGAGGCCAGGGGCCCGCGACGAGUAGGGGUGGAGGGGAGGAAAGCGGGGAGAUCGCGCGAGGAGGAAGCAGCCGAACCUCGGGCGGGCGCUGCGCAUGGAGAACGGCCGCGGCGGAGGGUGCUCCCAGGCGCGGAGAGAAGCCGAGGGCGCCAGCGGGCGAGCGCGAGUCCGGGGUCUGCGCCGCGCUGCUGGUGAAUAAAAAGGAGAGAGGAGGCGCCUCUUACUGCUCUGCCGGAAAACUGCAGCCUGGGCUCCUGAUUGGACUCACCGAGCCCUAAACAAACAGCGCUCGCCGAAGGGUGCCAGGCUGUGGGUCGGAACUGCGCUCAGCGAGCAGCUGGGCGCUGGAGAAAGGAUUUCUUCCGACAGACGUGACCCCAGAAGGCUGCCGAGGGAGACUUUAGGACAAGAGGCGUUGUUUUUGGAAGGAAGAGGAGCCUGUGCAGAGUUGAACUGGGGUGGAGAGGUGCCUUGUAAAGUAUGGUUUCCAGAGAUGGUGAGACCUCGUAGCUAAGCGUUGUUUCCUCUGCACGUAACUUUUCAGCGUGGCCGCAUUUGGAAAAGGCUGAAGGUAGAAAACUCUGGAAUGGAGAGGCUGGCGACUGGAGCAGGAUCCAGGGGCUUUAAAUUUUAACCUGAAUGCGAUCGAAUGCGCGACUCCCAGAAGAGAUAGCCAGGCGUCCGCCCGGCCGCUCAACCCCCGCCAGGACUCGGAAUGCCUUGCUUUUGGUUCUUUUCUACAAGGAUGUCUGCGUGGAUAUCCCUGGACACUCGAUACCCCCCGGGGACCUGCUUUUCCCGCAGCUCCGCAGACGCGGCGGGAGGGCGCGCUGGCCCCGGCGCUGCUGGGACAGAGGUGAGCAGCGGGGUGGACAUUGACCGAUUCGACAACGUUCGGGCUCUAAGGGCUCGGGAAGGGACCCGGCAUUUUACCCUCCAGAUUCCCAAUCUAUUUUUAAAAAUAAUGUUCAAAACAUAUGGGAAAAAUAAGUGAUUGCUCCUUUUCAUGGUCACAGAUUGUAUUUAUUUUUUCAGACUGGUUUUCCAACCUAACGAGGGAAUGGGUAGUGAAUGUUGUUGUUGUUGUUGUUGUUUAUGUUGGUUAAUUUCGAAAUAAAACUGUUUAACUCGUACAGUUGAUUCAGACAGAAAAC
rnacentral:lncRNA from 10 species